rnacentral:rRNA from 1 species
GACGGGACCGCACAAGCGGUGGAUGAUGUGGAUUAAUUCGAUGCAACGCGAAAACCUUACCUACCCUUGACAUGUCCGGAAUCCCGAAGAGAUUUGGGAGUGCUCGCAAGAGAACCGGAACACAGGUGCUGCAUGGCUGUCGUCAGCUCGUGUCGUGAGAUGUUGGGUUAAGUCCCGCAACGAGCGCAACCCUUGUCAUUAGUUGCCAUCAUUUGGUUGGGCACUCUAAUGAGACUGCCGGUGACAAACCGGAGGAAGGUGGGGAUGACGUCAAGUCCUCAUGGCCCUUAUGGGUAGGGCUUCACACGUCAUACAAUGGUCGGUACAGAGGGUUGCCAACCCGCGAGGGGGGAGCUAAUCCCACAAAGCCGAUCGUAGUCCGGAUCGCAGUCUGCAACUCGACUGCGUGAAGUCGGAAUCGCUAGUAAUCGUGGAUCAGCAUGUCACGGUGAAUACGUUCCCGGGUCUU